CAACUUUUUUGGGUGCUUCCUAUACUCCUUAGGAUUCUAUUGGAGAUGAAGCUGGAAUAUGGAGGAAGGAUUGUCCUUCUUUACUCCUUCAGACUUCUGGAAAGGAGAAACAACAGGGAAACAAAGGAAGCAUCCCCAUGGUCAUAGUAUUUCCUUAAAGAUCGUGAGCCCAGGAAUGACUGCAACAAUUUGGCUACUUGAGUGAAUCAUCUCAAGAAUCACCUGAGGAUAAAACCAACCUGAGGAGGAAGGGUGGAUUAUAGAGGACCCCUGAGACAUGGAGAUUAUUAAACCACUGGAGGCCUCCUCUGUCUCUGGACAUCUCAUUUAUGUGAUUUUAUAAAUUUUCUAUACUGCUUAAAUUAGUUUGAGUCAAAUUAUCUGCUGAAUUGAUUUGCAAGCAUCUGACGAGGGGUUCACCUAGGUGACUUACAAGGUCUCAUCCAAACCUGGAUGUUUCUACCUCUAAAUGACUUGCAACUUUAUUUCACCAUCAAACAUGGAGAAAAGUUU
rnacentral:lncRNA from 10 species